CCUGGAAAUACAGACUGAGUAUGUGAUUUCCACAGAACAAGGCAGGCAGAAGGCCCUCCUCCUCUACACCUCAGAGCUGGGCCUGCUUACUCGGGGCUGGUGGACCAUUUUCUUAAAUAAGGCAUGGCGCUGGUCUGACAUUAGUUUAACAAGAUCUUCAGAAUGAUAAUUAGUGUCAUCAUUGUCAAGUUCAAGUUCUCCUGACUUGUUGAAAAGCCAAAAAUACAUAUUGUGACAGGGAAGUUCCCAUCAAAGAGUAGUAAGGAGAAUACCAAUUGGGAAAGGACAACUUCAUAAAAAUAAACAAGUAUGGCAUAAUGGUUUGUGAAGCUGAUUCUUCUGGAAUGAAUAAUAAAAGCAAAAUACAUGAAGGCACCCAGUUCUGUAAGCUCCUAAAUUCAAAUACUCCAAUAUGAUUACCUUGAUUAAACAAUAAAUAAAACAUACCCUGAUGGGUAAUUUUGUCAUGGAGCCUCUACAUUCUUAAUGAAAUCCAUCUGAACAUUGCUUAAUACAGUCGUAGAAGAGUGCUAAUUUAACCUGACUUCAACAAAUGCUUUAUUUUACCUCAUCUACAUAAAUAAGGUGUGUUCACAGUUCUAAAACAUGACAUGAAUAUGAAGAUUAAGCUACACAUUGGAUUGUAGGGGAGGAUACCUGGAUUUGGCUCACUCCACUAAACCAAAAUAUCACCAGCCAUUAUUAUCUAAAAGAAAUACUGCACACAUCUCAGCUGAACACUGAUUUUUCCAAAUGCUUUACGUUUAAAAAAUAGUAAUAAUGUAGUGUUUGGAAAUAAUGUGUAAAAAUAGAGUGUGAAGCAUUAUUAGGAACAGAUUUAUAAACAGAGGCAGAGGGUAUCUACAUGAAAAAACAUGGCUAAGCUCUGCUAAUAAUCAAGUCUUUGAAACAAAAGCUCGCUGGAUCUUUAGCUCCUCCAAAGCAAGAGAUUUUGUUCAUUCAUCUUCUUAUCCCCA
rnacentral:lncRNA from 10 species